UUUAAAGAGAGUUUGAUCCUGGCUCAGGACGAACGCUGGCGGCGUGCCUAAUACAUGCAAGUCGAACGAACGGAGGAAGAGCUUGCUCUUCCAAAGUUAGUGGCGGACGGGUGAGUAACACGUGGGCAACCUGCCUGUAAGUUGGGGAUAACUCCGGGAAACCGGGGCUAAUACCGAAUGAUAAAGUGUGGCGCAUGCCACGCUUUUGAAAGAUGGUUUCGGCUAUCGCUUACAGAUGGGCCCGCGGUGCAUUAGCUAGUUGGUAGGGUAAUGGCCUACCAAGGCAACGAUGCAUAGCCGACCUGAGAGGGUGAUCGGCCACACUGGGACUGAGACACGGCCCAGACUCCUACGGGAGGCAGCAGUAGGGAAUCUUCCGCAAUGGACGAAAGUCUGACGGAGCAACGCCGCGUGUAUGAAGAAGGUUUUCGGAUCGUAAAGUA
rnacentral:rRNA from 1 species